rnacentral:rRNA from 1 species
CGGGGGGGGCAAGCGUUGUUCGGAAUUACUGGGCGUAAAGGGUUCGUAGGUGGCCUGCUAAGUCAGACGUGAAAUCCCUCAGCUUAACUGGGGAACUGCGUCUGAGACUGGCGGGCUUGAGGGCAGGAGAGGAACGCGGAAUUCCAGGUGUAGCGGUGAAAUGCGUAGAUAUCUGGAGGAACACCGGUGGCGAAGGCGGCGUUCUGGACUGCAUCUGACACUGAGGAACGAAAGCCAGGGGAGCAAACGGGAUUAGAUACCCCGGUAGUCCUGGCCCUAAACGAUGAAUGCUUGGUGUGGCGGGUAUCGAUCCCUGCCGUGCCGAAGUUAACGCGAUAAGCAUUCCGCCUGGGGAGUACGGUCGCAAGGCUG